GCCGAUCAGGUGAAAAAUGCUGCACCUUAUCACGCAACUCGGCAGUCCGCCCGUCCGUCGCGCCCGCAUAUUCCCAAACAGAACCCACAUCCGCAAAUACCACAUUUACCCUCAGUAAAUCACAAAGUAACAUAUGUUUCCUUAUUUGCAUUCGUGGAACAACGAAAUGAAAAUAGGGGCAUCAUAGGUAUUUCGCUGUUCUCGUCCUCCACGCGAAAGGGGGAGGGAGGCGCAUGCCAAGCCCGUUGUGUAAAUUUCAAGCAAUAGAGAUUGGAGACGCAGCGGCAAACCCCAGCUAUAAAUAUUCUCCUUCUCUCUCUCUCCACCCGGUUUCUCGUACCUUCGGAUAUUCCAUCCGAGAUCUCUCUUUCUGUCUCUCUCUCUCUCCCCCGGCUUCGUCGGUCGCAUUUACUCUCCAAGAACUUCCCCGCCGGCGGCGGAGAUCGCCGGUCAGAUCCGAGACGGCGGUGGCGCGGCGCUGCGAGCCGGCCCCCUCCGCACACCAGUUUUCCGAUUCCGGCGAUCUGGGAUUGGAUCCUAGCUGAGGAUCGAGGUCUGAUAAGAGCUUCAUCUGAAUGUUAUCCCUGAAGCUUCAAAUUGUCAACAUUUUACUAUUGUAGUUACGCCUGACAAACUUAACGGAGGAAUCUGGUUUGAACUGCUGUAAAACGGGAUGAUAGAAUGCAGUGUCUGUCAUUCCAAAUUGGUAUCCCCAACAAGCAAAACAGUGUCAAGGGCAUAUGAUAUACAUAGGAGCGAGAUAUCAUCAAAAUCUCGUGCCCUCAAUGUUCUUCUGGUUGUUGGUGAUUGCAUCUUGAUCGGCCUUCAGCCUAUUUUAGUUUACAUGUCCAAAGUGGAUGGGAGCUUUAAAUUUAGUCCUGUCAGUGUUAACUUUCUAACUGAGGUUGCAAAGGUUUUCUUUGCCAUCGUCAUGCUUUUAUUCCAGGCUAGGCAACAAAAAGUGGGAGAAAAGCCCCUUCUUUCAAUUUCAACUUUUGUGCAGGCAGCUCGUAAUAAUGUUCUUCUUGCUGUUCCUGCUCUUCUUUAUGCCAUCAACAACUACCUGAAAUUUAUAAUGCAGUUAUACUUUAACCCAGCAACUGUGAAAAUGUUGAGCAACCUGAAGGUUUUGGUAAUCGCUGUUCUUUUGAAGAUGAUAAUGAAAAGGCGCUUUUCCAUUAUCCAGUGGGAGGCUCUUGCACUGUUGCUCAUUGGAAUCAGUGUUAAUCAGCUCCGGUCAUUGCCUGAGGGAACUACUGCACUUGGUCUUCCUGUAGCAACGGGUGCAUACAUAUAUACAUUAAUAUUUGUGACUGUUCCUUCACUAGCCUCAGUUUUCAAUGAAUAUGCUUUGAAAAGCCAGUUUGAGACAAGCAUAUAUCUUCAGAACUUGUUUUUAUAUGGCUAUGGUGCUGUAUUUAACUUUCUUGCCAUCAUUGGAACUGCCUUUUUCAAAGGACCCGCUAGCUUUGACAUCCUUCAAGGUCAUUCAAAGGCUACAAUGUUUCUCAUAUGCAAUAAUGCAGCACAAGGCAUUCUGUCCUCAUUCUUCUUCAAGUAUGCAGAUACAAUUUUGAAGAAAUAUUCAUCGACAGUUGCCACAAUUUUUACUGGCAUAGCAUCUGCUUUGUUGUUUGGUCAUACUCUGACUAUGAACUUUAUGCUGGGAAUCUCAAUAGUGUUUAUAUCGAUGCACCAGUUUUUUUCUCCACUAGCAAAAGCCAAAAAUGAGGUGCCAAAUGGAACACUGGAGAUGAUUGAUGCUCAAGAUCUCAGGUCCAAGGAAGCAUCCUUCAUAAAUAUGACUGCUGGUGCAACAGAAGAUCAUUGUUUUCCCCAAAAUUCAGGCUAGCCACCUUGUCGGACAUGAUGAGAAACAGCCGCUUCUCCCGACCUAAUGUUAUUUACAAGGGAUCGAAGAUUCUUUUUCUGGACAUAUUAUAAAGAUGAGCCAGUUCUAACUGCAACAAAUAAAAUGUUCACUGCAAAGAGCGAAUAUUAUCUGUACAUGUAUAUAUAUAUAUAUAUAUGUGUGUGUGUGUGUGUGUGUGUGUGUGUGUGUGUACACACACACAUGCGCACAUUUUUCUGGUCGUAAGUUUCAAGCUGUUUCAUGCUGCAAGAGGAUAAGCUGUCCUGAGAUGAGUACAGGAGUUAUAGCUGAGCUGUAGAGGGUAGUCAAUGGAGGCACUUUGUUGGUUUUUCACCCAUAGUGUACCCUUAUUAUUUGUGUGUACUGGACUUCCCUGGAUAUCACUUAUGCCAAAUCUUUUGUUUUUUCCGCCAUCGGGUUUUGGAUCCACCAGUGCUACCAUCCGGUGUAAAAACUGGAAAUACAAAGUUGUGUUCUUUAAAUAAGCAGCAAAAUCCCAAGUUCCUCAUUA